rnacentral:lncRNA from 1 species
UUUUCCGUAUAACUGUUUUGAGUAGUUGAAGUUUGUUAUUAUUCUCUCUUCUCUCUCUUGUUUCAUUGUUCAUCUUUAUCACCUUGUACACCAACAAUUAAUAAUAUAUAAUAUUUAUUUAUCAAAUUGUAUGGCUAUUUUGUAAUGGCUAAUUUUUCACGACGACUACUUUUUUUAUACUUAUAUUUACACAGACAAUUUUAAACAAUUAUUCUAUCACUUAGCAAAUAUAAUUCUACACAAUUUUAAAUAUAUGUU